GAGGCCUUAGCUUAAUUAAAGUACCUGAUUUGCAAUCAGGAGAUGCAAGUUAGUUUCUUGUAGGUCUUA
rnacentral:tRNA from 2 species